AUGAAAACCAGGAAGGGUGGGGGUGCCCCAGAGCCACUGUCCAGCUCCGCGGGUGCCUGGCACAGAUCAGCUCACGUACAGCUGAGAAGCUCUGGGCACAAGCAUGAAAGUUCAUUGAGAGCUUUCUUCUCUGUUAAACGGUCCAUCCCUCCCAUCUUCGGCUGUUCCCAUGGACCUACUGACGGCGUUCUGACACAAAGUGCUGCAGUGUCCCUGGGACGACCCCAUGUGGACACGUGUGCGGAGGGGGGCAGGGGCCCAAGGCAGUGUCUGAGUCAUCCACAGAUGUGGGCCACCAUCUGGGACUGCAUUCCAGGCAGGAACAGAACCACUGGCCAGGGGCCGGCCAGUAUCUGUCCUCCAGGUGAAGACAUGUCUGCCAACAGGCCAUCCACCCACACUAUGCCAUCAAAGGGAAGAGCCACGCAGGAGGCUCAGACAGGCAUUUCUGCCAAGGCCUAAUCCUGAAUCUGUGGAUGUCCCCUCCCGUAUGCACCUGGAGCCACAGUAUGUCUGUCAGAUGCCAUUAUUCGUUAAACUUCAGAUUAACUGGGUAUGGUAUGGUGCUGCCCCAUGAAGCCUCACUCAGGGGGACAAGGUGCUGGACGCUGGCUGGCCACAUGCAUCCUUGGCUGAGGAGGGCAAGACACUGGCAAUGGGGCACAGGUGGUGCCCUGAAAUGAAAUUGGGGCCUCUCUGUACCCGAAGAAGGUGCCAGGUACCCAGUUCAGAAACCCAAGGGCUUGGGCAGGGACAGGAUCAGAGCAGCAUCCAAAGGGGUCAAAGGACUUGAGAGGGCAGCUGCCUGACAGGAGGUACAAGCUAGCUCAGAUAUGCUGAGUAUGGGAGCUGGGGUGGAGGAGUCUGGAAUGUUCUGGGGAUUCCGGCUCAGCAGCCUGAAUUAGGGUACAGGGGGAGGAAGCAGGGUGGUGCACACGCUCAGCGUGAACUGACAGCACUGGGCCUGGACGUCCACCAGAGAGGAGGUGGGGGGCGGGGUCCCUACAGAGAUUCAUACAUGCUCCCAACAUUUGGGAGAAAGCAGGGAGCGGCCGGACCAAGGAGAAUGUCUGAACCAUGCUGAUUCUCUCCCAGGAGGCAAGGAGGCCGUUCACCGGUGUUGCCCAGUGUGGCCUGGGCACCUUGCUUGGCAGCCUGCAAUCCUGGGUGCACCGGGUGGCUUCUGGGCCGUGUGCCAGUUCUUGCACCAACCUGGCACCCCUGCCCCGGGUCCAUCUGUGUGGAGAAGGGCCGUGGGCCUGUCACAGGGUGGGACACACAGCAGGUCCCACAGCGACCCCGCCUGUCGGCAACACCCUGCUGACAAAGGCUGCACUGCCUGGAAGAGCCGCCAGCACCAGCGGCCCCAGCAUGACCGGUGAAAUAUGCCAGCAGACUGCAGGGAUCCUGUUACGGCAGUGGAUUUCGUCAGAAUGAUCGUUAACGUGAUUU
rnacentral:lncRNA from 12 species